GAUGAGCGCUGGCGGCGUGCCUAAUACAUGCAAGUCGAGCGGUAAGGCCCCUUCGGGGGUACACGAGCGGCGGACGGCUGAGUAACACGUAGGAACGUACCCCAAAGUGAGGGAUAACUGCUCGAAAGAGUAGCUAAUACCGCAUGUGAUCUACGGAUUAAAGCUUUAUGCGCUCUGGGAACGGCCUGCGUCCGAUUAGCUUGUUGGUGAGGUAAUAGCUCACCAAGGCGAUGAUCGGUAGCUGGUCUGAGAGGAUGAUCAGCCAGACUGGGACUGAAACACGGCCCAGACUCCUACGGGAGGCAGCAGUAGGGAAUUUUCCACAAUGGGCGAAAGCCUGAUGGAGCAACGCCGCGUGCAGGAUGAAUGCCUUAGGGUUGUAAACUGCUUUUAAUAGUGACGAUUAUGACGGUAACUAUUGAAUAAGGACCUGCUAACUACGUGCCAGCCGCCGCAGUAA
rnacentral:rRNA from 1 species